rnacentral:rRNA from 1 species
UACGUAGGGUGCGAGCGUUGUCCGGAAUUACUGGGCGUAAAGAGCUUGUAGGUGGUUUGUCGCGUUGUUCGUGAAAUCUCACGGCUUAACUGUGAGCGUGCGGGCGAUACGGGCAGACUAGAGUACUGCAGGGGAGACUGGAAUUCCUGGUGUAGCGGUGGAAUGCGCAGAUAUCAGGAGGAACACCGGUGGCGAAGGCGGGUCUCUGGGCAGUAACUGACGCUGAGACGCGAAAGCGUGGGGAGCGAACAGG